rnacentral:rRNA from 1 species
AGCGAACGCUGGCGGCAGGCCUAACACAUGCAAGUCGAACGAACUCUUCGGAGUUAGUGGCGGACGGGUGAGUAACACGUGGGAACGUGCCUUUAGGUUCGGAAUAACUCAGGGAAACUUGUGCUAAUACCGAAUGUGCCCUUCGGGGGAAAGAUUUAUCGCCUUUAGAGCGGCCCGCGUCUGAUUAGCUAGUUGGUGAGGUAAAGGCUCACCAAGGCGACGAUCAGUAGCUGGUCUGAGAGGAUGAUCAGCCACAUUGGGACUGAGACACGGCCCAAACUCCUACGGGAGGCAGCAGUGGGGAAUCUUGCGCAAUGGGCGAAAGCCUGACGCCGCCAUGCCGCGUGAAUGAUGAAGGUCUUAGGAUUGUAAAAUUCUUUCACCGGGGACGAUAAUGACGGUACCCGGAGAAGAAGCCCCGGCUAACUUCGUG